UUUCGAGUUCAUUUUCCUUAUGCAGCCUUUGUUUUCCUUUGCGCCAUCCCAUUUCCUUUCGGGCUUAGGCCCGGUCUAGUCUUAAGUCUAAAUUUCUCUUGGCAGUUUUUUUUUUCCUUUCUAACACCCCUUUCUACUUGGGCUUAGACCCAACUUGUUCUCUUGUUUAUUUAACUUGAAUACCCUCAUUUCCUCAUUUUGACACCUUUUUUUUAUUAUUUAUCUUUUAUCUUAGUUUGUUUUUAUUAUCUAC
rnacentral:lncRNA from 1 species